rnacentral:rRNA from 1 species
AGCGAACGCUGGCGGCAGGCUUAACACAUGCAAGUCGAGCGGGCAUCUUCGGAUGUCAGCGGCAGACGGGUGAGUAACACGUGGGAACGUACCCUUCGGUUCGGAACAACUCUGGGAAACCGGAGCUAAUACCGGAUACGCCCUUAUGGGGAAAGGUUUACUGCCGAAGGAUCGGCCCGCGUCUGAUUAGCUAGUUGGUGGGGUAACGGCCUACCAAGGCGACGAUCAGUAGCUGGUCUGAGAGGAUGAUCAGCCACACUGGAACUGAGACACGGCCCAGACUCCUACGGGAGGCAGCAGUGGGGAAUAUUGGACAAUGGGCGCAAGCCUGAUCCAGCCAUGCCGCGUGAGUGAUGAAGGCCUUAGGGUUGUAAAGCUCUUUUGUCCGGGACGAUAAUGACGGUACCGGAAGAAUAAGCCCCGGCUAACUUCGUG